rnacentral:rRNA from 1 species
CACGUAGGCACCAAGCGUUGUCCGGAUUUAUUGGGCGUAAAGAGCUCGUAGGCGGUUCAGUAAGUCGGGUGUGAAAACUCUGGGCUCAACCCAGAGAGGCCACCCGAUACUGCUGUGACUUGAGUACGGUAGGGGAGCGGGGAAUUCCUGGUGUAGCGGUGAAAUGCGCAGAUAUCAGGAGGAACACCAGUGGCGAAGGCGCCGCUCUGGGCCGUAACUGACGCUGAGGAGCGAAAGCGUGGGUAGCAAACAGG